GUGGCUCUAUGGGGCACAGCGGUGGCUCUAUGGGGCACAGUGGCAGCGCUAUGGGGCACAGUGACAGCGCUAUAGGGCACAGGGGUCUCGCUAUGGGGCCCAGGGAUGGCUCUAUGGGGCACAGGGACAGCGCUAUGGGGCACAGGGAUGGCUCUAUGGGGCACAGCGGCAGCGCUAUGGGGCACAGGGAUGGCUCUAUGGGGCACACGGCAGCGCUAUGGGGCACAGGGAUGGCUCUAUGGGGCACAGUGGCGGCGCUAUGGGGCGCAGUGGCAGUGCUAUGGGGCACAGGGAUGGCUCUAUGGGGCACAGCGGUGGUGCUAUGGGGCACAGUGGCAGCGCUAUGGGGCGCAGUGCCAGCGCUAUGGGGCACAGUGGCAGCGCUAUGGGGCACAGUGCCGGCGCUAUGGGGCACAGGGAUGGCGCUAUGGGGCACAGGGAUGGCUCUAUGGGGCGCAGUGGCGGCGCUAUGGGGCGCAGUGACAGCGC
rnacentral:lncRNA from 1 species